AGAUGUUUGUUAAUAAGCACUCAGCCUCUGGGCAUAGAUACUCCAAAAAGAAAUGCUGCUUAAGGCCGGUCUUUGGACAUCACGGACUUAGGCACAAUGGAUACUUCAAUGGUGGUUGGUGCUGGACGGACACAUCACUGAUAGGACUAAAUUUGCUGCCGUUCCAGUUGUCAGUUCACUUGGCUUGUACUAAACCUUGCCUUGGAAACAAUUAAUUCCGCCAAGGAAUUCAACAUAAAUUUUUGGCUGACCUCCUCCGUUCAUAGAAUCGGAGGGGUCAGAGAUGGUUUUAACGGUUGGUGUAAAUGUUGGCGUUGC